UACGGAGGGUGCGAGCGUUGUCCGGAUUUAUUGGGCGUAAAGCGCUCGCAGGUGGUUCGUUGCGUCGUGCGUGAAAGACCCCGGCUCAACUGGGGGAUGUCGUGCGAUACGGGCGGACUGGAGGCCAGUAGGGGGAUGCGGAAUUCCGGGUGUAGUGGUGGAAUGCGUAGAGAUCCGGAGGAACACCAGCGGCGAAGGCGGCAUCCUGGACUGGUCCUGACACUCAGGAGCGAAAGCGUGGGGAGCGAUCCGG
rnacentral:rRNA from 1 species